rnacentral:lncRNA from 1 species
CAGUGGUGCGGCCGGCGGCCGAGCGUUCUGAGUCACCCGGGACUGGAGGGUGAGUGACGGCGAGGCCGGGGUCGCCGGGAGGGAGAUCCUGGAGCCGGCAAACAACCUCCCGGGGGCAAGGACGUGCUUGUGGGCGGGGAGCGCUGGAGGCCGGCCUGCCUCUCUUCUUGGGGGGGGCUGCCGCCUCCCUUGCGCACCCUUCGCGGGAUUAGUGUAACUCCCAAUGGCUACCACUUCCAGCGACCGCCAACCCUCAAGCGAAGACUGACUUUGGCUCCCUGCCUGGACGGAGGGGCCCCUGAGCCAGGGGUGACGAUCCCGCCCCUCUGACCGGCCCAGGCCCGUGUCCUCGCCCCCAUCGGUGACUCAGUGACCUGGUGACUGGAUUCUCGGCCACCUGGGCGCCGAGACGGCUUCCGGCUCCUGCCUUUUAAACCUGCCUCCCCGGCGAUCACCUGGAGAAGAGCGCUGGGCCCGGGGCACUGCGGUCCCUGGCGCCCACUGCGUCCCGCUGCGCACGGGGGUCCGCCGGGACCUUUCUGGGAGUCGUAGGCUUAGUAUCCCAGUGCUUGGCGCAGACUAGUUGUUCUAGGAACCCAGCCAUGGUGAACGAAGCCAGAGGAAACAGCAGCCUCAACCCCUGCUUGGAGGGCAGUGCCAGCAGUGGCAGUGAGAGCUCCAAAGAUAGUU